GAGGAUGGAAUGUAGCUCAGUGGCAGAGCAGAUGCUUUGCAUGCAGAAGGUCCCAGGCUAAACCCCAGGCAUCCUCA